rnacentral:rRNA from 1 species
GACGAACGCUGGCGGCGUGCUUAACACAUGCAAGUCAAGGGGGCCCGCAAGGGUAACCGGCGAACGGGUGCGUAACACGUGAGCAAUCUGCCUCGAUGUGGGGGAUAGCCGGCCCAACGGCCGGUAAUACCGCAUACGCUCUCUGGGUGGCAUCACUUGGAGAGGAAACAUUUUUGGCAUUGAGAGGAGCUCGCGGCCUAUCAGCUAGUUGGUGGGGUAAUGGCCUACCAAGGCUUUGACGGGUAGCUGGUCUGGGAGGAUGGCCAGCCACAUUGGGACUGAGAUACGGCCCAGACUCCUACGGGAGGCAGCAGUGGGGAAUAUUGCGCAAAUGGCCGAAAGGCUGACGCAGCGACGCCGCGUGGGGGAUGAAGCAUUUCGGUGUGUAAACCCCUGUUGCCCGGGACGAACAACUGGUUUUGACCAGUCUGACGGUACCGGGUGAGGAAGCACCGGCUAACUCCGUGCCAGCAGCCGCGGUAAU